rnacentral:ribozyme from 1 species
UGCCCAGCAACUCCUACCCCUACCUCCUCGCGGUACUGGCCGGGGUACGAGUAACCAAUCCCGGUGGAAAAUCUGGUCGUAUGCUGACAGGGAAGG